UACGAGAGGCCCAAACGUUCUUCGGAUUUACUGGGCUUAAAGAGUUCGUAGGCGGCGCAGAAAGUAGGGUGUGAAAGCCCUCGGCUCAACCGAGGAAUUGCGCUCUAAACUACUGUGCUUGAGGAAGCUAGAGGUGAGCGGAACUGAUGGUGGAGCGGUGAAAUGCGUUGAUAUCAUCAGGAACACCGGAGGCGAAGGCGGCUCACUGGGGCUUAUCUGACGCUGAGGAACGAAAGCCAGGGGAGCGAACGGG
rnacentral:rRNA from 1 species